rnacentral:rRNA from 1 species
UGCUAGUUGCACGAGUUCAUACUCGUGGCGAAAAGCUCAGUAACACGUGGCCAAACUACCCUACAGAGAACGAUAACCUCGGGAAACUGAGGCUAAUAGUUCAUACGGGAGUCAUGCUGGAAUGCCGACUCCCCGAAACGCUCAGGCGCUGUAGGAUGUGGCUGCGGCCGAUUAGGUAGACGGUGGGGUAACGGCCCACCGUGCCGAUAAUCGGUACGGGUUGUGAGAGCAAGAGCCCGGAGACGGAAUCUGAGACAAGAUUCCGGGCCCUACGGGGCGCAGCAGGCGCGAAACCUUUACACUGCACGCAAGUGCGAUAAGGGGACCCCAAGUGCGAGGGCAUAUAGUCCUCGCUUUUCACGACUGUAAGGCGGUCGUGGAAUAAGAGCUGGGCAAGACCGGUGCCAGCCGCCGCGGUAAUACCGGCAGCUCAAGUGAUGACCGAUAUUAUUGGGCCUAAAGCGUCCGUAGCCGGCCACGAAGGUUCAUCGGGAAAUCCGCCAGCUCAACUGGCGGGCGUCCGGUGAAAACCAUGUGGCUUGGGACCGGAAGGCUCGAGGGGUACGUCCGGGGUAGGAGUGAAAUCCCGUAAUCCUGGACGGACCACCGAUGGCGAAAGCACCUCGAGAAGACGGAUCCGACGGUGAGGGACGAAAGCUAGGGUCUCGAACCGGAUUAGAUACCCGGGUAGUCCUAGCUGUAAACGAUGCUCGCUAGGUGUGACACAGGCUACGAGCCUGUGUUGUGCCGUAGGGAAGCCGAGAAGCGAGCCGCCUGGGAAGUACGUCCGCAAGGAUGAAACUUAAAGGAAUUGGCGGGGGAGCACUACAACCGGAGGAGCCUGCGGUUUAAUUGGAUUCAACGCCGG